CCUACGGGUGGCAGCAGUGAGGAAUAUUGGUCAAUGGGCGCGAGCCUGAACCAGCCAAGUCGCGUGAGGGAUGACGGUCCUACGGAUUGUAAACCUCUUUUGCCGGGGAGCAAGCGUGCGUUCGUGAACGCACGUCGAGAGUACCCGGAGAAAAAGCAUCGGCUAACUCCGUGCCAGCAGCCGCGGUAAUACGGAGGAUGCGAGCGUUAUCCGGAUUUAUUGGGUUUAAAGGGUGCGUAGGUGGUUAAUUAAGUCAGCGGUGAAAGUUUGUGGCUCAACCAUAAAAUUGCCGUUGAAACUGGUUGACUUGAGUAUAUUUGAGGUAGGCGGAAUGCGUGGUGUAGCGGUGAAAUGCAUAGAUAUCACGCAGAACUCCGAUUGCGAAGGCAGCUUACUAAACUAUAACUGACACUGAAGCACGAAAGCGUGGGGAUCAAACAGGAUUAGAUACCCUAGUAGUC
rnacentral:rRNA from 1 species